UACGAAGGUCCCAAGCGUUGUUCGGAAUCACUGGGCGUAAAGGGAGCGUAGGCGGCGUGGUAAGUCAGAUGUGAAAUCCCGGGGCUCAACCCCGGAACUGCAUCCGAUACUGCCAUGCUAGAGGAUUGGAGAGGUAGCUGGAAUUCUUGGUGUAGCAGUGAAAAUGCGUAGAGAUCAAGAGGAACACUCGUGGCGAAAGCGAGCUACUGGACAAUUCCUGACGCUGAGGCUCGAAGGCUAGGGUAGCGAAAGGG
rnacentral:rRNA from 1 species